rfam:Rattus norvegicus chromosome 3, whole genome shotgun sequence.
GGGGAUUUAGCUCAGUGGUAGAGCGCUUGCCUGGCAAGCACAAGGCCCUGGGUUCAGUCCCCAGCUCCG